AACGCCGGCGGUGUGCCUAAUACAUGCAAGUCGAACGCGUUGGCCCAAUUGAUUGANGGUGCUUGCACCUGAUUGAUUUUGGUCGCCAACGAGUGGCGGACGGGUGAGUAACACGUAGGUAACCUGCCCAGAAGCGGGGGACAACAUUUGGAAACAGAUGCUAAUACCGCAUAACANCGUUGUUCGCAUGAACAACGCUUAAAAGAUGGCUUCUCGCUAUCACUUCUGGAUGGACCUGCGGUGCAUUAGCUUGUUGGUGGGGUAANGGCCUACCAAGGCGAUGAUGCAUAGCCGAGUUGAGAGACUGAUCGGCCACAAUGGGACUGAGACACGGCCCAUACUCCUACGGGAGGCAGCAGUAGGGAAUCUUCCACAAUGGGCGCAAGCCUGAUGGAGCAACACCGCGUGAGUGAAGAAGGGUUUCGGCUCGUAAAGCUCUGU
rnacentral:rRNA from 2 species